rnacentral:rRNA from 1 species
GCCUACAUGAAGCUGGAAUUGCUAGUAAUCACAGGUCAGCAUACUGUGGUGAAUACGUUCCCGGGCCUUGUACACACCGCCCGUCACACCAUGAGAGUUGAGAAUACCCGAAGCCCAUGUCAAAGUGGUCGAAGGUAGGCUUGAUGAUUGGGGUGAAGUCGUAACAAGGUAUC